rnacentral:lncRNA from 1 species
CAACCUCCCAAAGUGUUGUGAUUACAGGUGUGAGCCACUGCACCUGUCCUAAAAGUUCAUCUUCAUCUGGAAGAAUGGAGAAGAUUGAAAAGUCUUAGAAAGCCUACACGUGAGACUAAAUAAACCAUCUCAAUCAGCAUCAACAACGCACUGGUGUGGGAUACAGGUGUGCCAAAUUAUUGACCCUUGCAGCUCUUGUGGCCAGGAAGGGUUUGGAAUAGGUGAAUCUCCAGGCUGAUGAGCAAGUAACAUCUUUCUUUGCCCAAAGUGACUGAGGAAAUAUGACUGUCUACUUGUGCCACCUUGUUCCAAUGUUUGAGAAACACUAGAAGAACUCUUACUGCGCACACGAGAACAGCUGAGGAACUGCUCAAGUACCAGCAGUUUCUGUGGAAUCCAGGUGACUCUUCCCCCUGUGGAUUUGACCAGCACUUCAUAUGGCCCUCUCUCAAAAUAAUCACUAUGAAGGAGGAUUAUUUUGAACCUGAGAAAAACUGCUAUCCUAGGAUAACU